CCCUGGUUAGCUCAGUUGGUAGAGCGCUCCACUUGUAAUGGAGAAGUCCCGGGUUCGAUACCCGGACCAGGCG
rfam:Ixodes scapularis strain Wikel colony gcontig_1108379554713, whole genome shotgun sequence.